UGGUUGAUCCUGCCAGUAGUCAUACGCUCGUCUCAAAGAUUAAGCCAUGCAUGUGUAAGUAUAAAUAAUUCUACUUUGAAACUGCGAAUGGCUCAUUAUAUCAGUUAUAGUUUAUUAGAAAUAGUGUACUACUUGGAUAACCGUAGUAAUUCUAGGGCUAAUACAUGAAUAAAUCCUCGACUUUUGAAGAGGUGGGGUUAUUAGAAUGAAAACCAUAUGCUUUUGCAUGAAAGUAAGUAAUAAUAACCUUUCAUAUCGCCUGUAUUAAAUAGCGAUAGUUCUUUCAAGUUUCUGCCCUAUCAGCUUUCGAUGGUAGUGUAUUGGACUACCAUGGCAGUAACGGGUAACGAAGAAUUUGGGUUCGAUUUCGGAGAGGGAGCCUGAGAGAUGGCUACCACAUCCAAGGAAGGCAGCAGGCGCGUAAAUUACCCAAUCCUGACAUAGGGAGGUAGUGACAAUAAAUCACAAUGCGGGACUAUUUAGUUUUGCAAUUGAAUUGAGAACAAUGUACAAGAGUUAUCGAUAAACAAUUGGAGGGCAAGUCUGGUGCCAGCAGCCGCGGUAAUUCCAGCUCCAAUAGCGUAUAUUAACGUUGUUGCAGAUAAAAAGCUCA
rnacentral:rRNA from 1 species